rnacentral:lncRNA from 1 species
AAGUUAUUAUGAAGAUGAGAUUGCACCAUAUGAACAAUUUUGUAGGUAAACAUUUAAUCAAAAAGAUGGAGGUAAGUAACUAUAUGGUAAAACGUUGAGUAAGAAAAAGACCCCAUUGCUACUAUUUAUAAAACAACUAACAUUGUUAGUAACAUGGGUGCAGAGGGUUGAUGUAUCCACACUGUUGAUAUAUUAGGAUAAAAAAACAAUAUAAAUAUGCUGCUGCUAUUUACUGGACAAGGGGGGUGUGCUAAAGCUUUGCAGAUAUAUUUCCUAAGAGAAGAACCCC